UAUAUGAAUCAGUAGUGCUCAUAAACAGCUUUUUACCCGGAAACAUCAUUCCUUAUACAGCAACACUUAACAAGAAGAUUGGCUUACAGUUUAAUAGGAAGUGACAAAUCCAACAUACAAGUACUUUGCUACCCUAAUAUCUAAAUGUUGAUCAUGAUUACAAUUAUUAAAUUUAAAAGUAGCUAUCUUUGGGACAACAGAUAAAAACUGAACAUUAAAGACAAAUCUAAAAAGAAAUCUAUGCAUUGGCAAUGUUUCCUUUUACUAUCAUUUUACCAUGUUGUCUCCAAUAAAUGUGACUUCUUAAAUUUCUGUUCUCAUAAAAUGUUAAAGCAGGAUUUCAGUUGAAAUGUAAUAUUUGAUGAUCGCUAACAUAUUUUCUCCUUACACAGAAUCCGAUUGACCAACGCAGUUGCCAACAAGAAGCUGCUUUCACCAAUGAGAAACCUGAAACAAACCUUGGACACGCCCAUUACUCCGAGCUGCAGCGCUCCGUUUGCGUUCAGUUUCAGUCAGCGUCGAUCUUCUGAGAUCAACUUAAUUACUUUACAUUAUUAAACUGGAACAGAGACUGCUUAAAUACAUCGAGCCUGUAAUGAGUCAGCUCCUCCCAGGACAUGUUUCAUCAGUGAAGCUCCUCCCACAUCACUCACAUCGUCAGUGAAGCUCCUCCCACAGCAGUUCUCCAAUAAAUGCUGGAAUAUUCCCAUCAGACGAGCAUCAGAGCAUCAGGAAGAGCUGAA